UGGGGAAUAUUGCACAAUGGGCGCAAGCCUGAUGCAGCCAUGCCGCGUGUGUGAAGAAGGCCUUCGGGUUGUAAAGCACUUUCAGCGGGGAGGAAGGCGAUAAGGCUAAUAACCUUGUCGAUUGACGUUACCCGCAGAAGAAGCACCGGCUAACUCCGUGCCAGCAGCCGCGGUAAUACGGAGGGUGCAAGCGUUAAUCGGAAUUACUGGGCGUAAAGCGCACGCAGGCGGUCUGUCAAGUCGGAUGUGAAAUCCCCGGGCUCAACCUGGGAACUGCAAUCGAAACUGGCAGGCUAGAGUCUUGUAGAGGGGGGUAGAAUUCCAGGUGUAGCGGUGAAGUGCGUAGAGAUCUGGAGGAAUACCGGUGGCGAAGGCGCCCCGCUGGACAAAGACUGACGCUCAGGUGCGAAAGCGUGGAGAGCAAACAGG
rnacentral:rRNA from 1 species